GGCAGGAUUCGAUUGCCGUCCCAGUCCCCAUGCCGACACCCUUUGUUGUUCCUCCACUUAUGAGC
rnacentral:snoRNA from 1 species